rnacentral:rRNA from 1 species
UGGGGAAUUUUGGACAAUGGGCGCAAGCCUGAUCCAGCCAUGCCGCGUGCGGGAAGAAGGCCUUCGGGUUGUAAACCGCUUUUGUCAGGGAAGAAAUCUUCUGAGUUAAUACCUCGGGAGGAUGACGGUACCUGAAGAAUAAGCACCGGCUAACUACGUGCCAGCAGCCGCGGUAAUACGUAGGGUGCAAGCGUUAAUCGGAAUUACUGGGCGUAAAGCGUGCGCAGGCGGUUUUGUAAGACAGAGGUGAAAUCCCCGGGCUCAACCUGGGAACUGCCUUUGUGACUGCAAGGCUUGAGUGCGGCAGAGGGGGGCAUGGAAUUCCGCGUGUAGCAGUGGAAAUUGCGUAGAUAUGCGGAGGAACACCGAUGGCGAAGGCAAUCCCCUGGGCCUGCA